CCUACGGGAGGCAGCAGUGAGGAAUAUUGGACAAUGGACGAGAGUCUGAACCAGCCAAGUAGCGUGAAGGAUGACUGCCCUAUGGGUUGUAAACUUCUUUUAUAUGGGAAUAAAAUGUUCCACGUGUGGGAUUUUGUAUGUACCAUAUGAAUAAGGAUCGGCUAACUCCGUGCCAGCAGCCGAGGUAAUACGGAGGAUCCGAGCGUUAUCCGGAUUGAUUGGGUUUAAAGGGAGCGUAGGUGGUUUGUUAAGUCAGUUGUGAAAGUUUGCGGCUCAACCGUAAAAUUGCAGUUGAAACUGGCAGUCUUGAGGACAGUAGAGGUGGGCGGAAUUCGAGGUGUAGCGGUGAAAUGCGUAGAGAUCACGAAGAACACCGAUGUCGAAGGCAGCUCACUGGACUGGAACUGACGCUGAGGCUCGAAAGUGUGGGGAUCAAACAGGAUUAGAUACCCGAGUAGUC
rnacentral:rRNA from 1 species